GGCCAGGGAGCCGCAGGCAAGGGACUAAGGGGAGGGGGGCUCAGUGCCAGCUGCUUAAAAAUGCCCCUGUGGCAGCGAGGGGCACCAGAGGCUGGGUCUAAUUAGUUGAGAAGCAGUGACACCCCCAACCACUCCCCAAACAGGCUGGCUCCCGUCUCCAGGCCCCAAGGAGCCACACCUGGACCAGACCCCAGGAAAGGCAAGGGCGCUAGCUGGUGGGAGCCACCCCGCCAUGCUGAUGUCAGAGAAGCAAGAACUCUGGAGAAGCAGCCUCCUGGGACCAGAGGAGGGCCAGCAGCAGGCAGCCCGGAGACAGAACUCUCACCCACGCCUCUCCAAGCCUCCCAACAGAAGACAGAGGUCCCCCACAGCCAGAGACAUUUCCUGAAGACAUGGGGAACACAGAGGCAGAAACAGCCCAUCCACCCAGGAGCUGUCCCCCACACUGCCGGGAGCCGGCACCCAGAGCCGCCAGGUAAAACUGAGGCCACCUGGUUCAACAUCACCUUUCACAGAAGGGGAAGCAGCCACAGAAAGAAGGGCCUCGUUAAGAAGUGGAACCUGGGACCCCCAAGCGGUGUCUCUCAUCCUGACUGGGGAUCCAGAGUAGGAGGGAGCCUUUGGUGGGGUUGGAGUCCCGCCACAGGCCACCAGAGCGGAGCAGCGCAGCGCCCUGUCUCCCAGCCUGAGGUGCAGUGCUGCAUCUCUGGUCAGUUGGGAGUCUGAGAUGAAGCACUGUAGCUCAGGAAGAGAGAAGUUGUUCUGCAGCCAUCAGCCUGGAAGUGGCUGGAUGUGGGAACUUCAGCACUGCCGUACUCUUGGGAAAUUUGUCCAAGGCCACCCGGCUGAGCAGCGGUUGAACCAGGACACCAUCAGGCAUGCGUUUCUUGUCUCCACCACACCCUCAACCCACUUCCCAACGCGCCUUGCGACAGGGGCUGCGGUAUUGCAUCCACAUGACUGAUAAACUAGUAAACACACAUGAAUUCAUUUUAAAAGUGUAUUCAAUCAGUUAGGUAAACUAAAAACCUUAAGUCUUCGUUCGAUUUGGAAUGCAGCCAGAGAACAAAUGGAAAAUUUUUCAAGGUAGAGAAGAUGAAAACUCAGAACGCCCUCUUGUGGCAUCUCUACCCACCCUAGGAACACUAUGGCUCUUCCCCUACACAUGGUGAUUGCUAACCUUGCUACAAGACGUUGGACACACACACACACACACACACACACACACACACACUGAGGUUCCUUUUGCCCCCUCACUUUUGAGCCAGUGACUACUGAAACCCUCUCCAUUGUUGCACCACCAGCAAUGCCCCCAUCACUUCCUCUCAUUUACUUCCACAGGCUGGUUCAUCCUCAAAGCCCUCCUUACGUAGAUCUGUGGGAUCAGUGAGGCUCAGAGAGGUAAAGUGGCCAGCCCAAGGUCGCCCAGACAGCAAAAGGCAGGGCCAGCGCUGAUUUCAAGUCCAAUGGCCUAUGGCAAUUUCUUAGCCAAAAGCAAAAUCUACAAAAAUAAAAAGUCAGGCACAGUGGUGAGUGCCUACAGUCCCAGCUACUGAGGAGGCCGACGGGGGAGGACCACUUGAGCUUGGGAGUUCCUGGCUGCAGAGAGCUAUGAUUGUGCCUGUGAAUAGCCAAUGCACUCCAGCCUGAGCAAGAUAGGGAGACCCUGUCUCUAAAAAAUACCUAAAUAAUUUUAAAAGUCAGCCUCUCUGACUGCCUAUAGAGAAUGCUAACUAACUGAAUGACAGAAGACCUAAUGUAAUCCAGGUGCAAAAUCAGAACUUUCCGGCCGGGCGCGGUGGCUCACACCUGUAAUCCCAACACUUUGGGAGGCCCAGGCGGGUGGAUCACGAGGUCAGGAGUUCAAGACCGGCCUGCCCAACAUGGCAAAACCCCGUCUCUACUAAAAAUACAAAAAAUUAGCUGGGCAUGGUGGUGGCCACCUAUAAUCUCAGCUACUCAGGAGGCUGAGGCAGGAGAAUUGCUUGGACCCGGGAGGCAGAGGUUGCAGUGAGCUGAGAUCGCGCCACUGCACUCCAGCGUGGGGGACAAAAGCGAAACUCUGUCUCAAAAAAAAAAAAAUUAGAACUUUCCCCGUACUCUUGCUAGGGCUUUUCAUGGAGAUGUAGAAAUGGUAGUAAGUGCCAAGGCCCCAGAACCCUCAUGUUUGGGUCCGACUCCCACAUUGCCAGAGACUAGGCAGCUCACACAGGUGUCCCAAGCUGUCUUUCUCACAGGCCGCAUUGAAGGCAUUUAUGAAAUGAGACCCCCUCUUCCUCAUCCGUAGUGACAGGGCUGGCCUGACCGUGGAGAAAUCAGAUUUGAUCAUGAUAGCUUCCACUCCGUGACUGGUCACGAUCUGCCAGGCGCUGUGCUAAACACUUUCAUAGGCCUUGUCCCCCUCCAUCCUGAUAACACCCCAGUGAAGCAGGCCCUGCUCUUCACUCCACUCCACAAAGCCAAGGCUGAGAGAGGUUAACAGACUUACCUAAGGUCACACAGCUAAGAAGUCGUGAAGCUGGGAUCGAAUCAAGUCUGUGUUUAUGGGUUUAACUAUCAUGUUGUGGCCCCAACCCCAUUUGACCUAGCCUGGCUGGUGGGCCUUCUUGCAGUAGCUUCCCCUGGAGAAGAGGAAAAGCAAACCUUCAUUGAGACCCAAGCGGUCUCUCCUGUGCUCUGUGACAAUAAUAAAGUUCCAGCCCUUGG
rnacentral:lncRNA from 10 species